rnacentral:rRNA from 1 species
GAUGAACGCUGACAGCGUGCUUAACACAUGCAAGUCAACUUGAAUUUGGGUUUUUAACUUCGUUUUGGGUUGCGGACGGGUGAGUAACGCGUACAGAACUUGCCUCACAGCUAGGGACAACAUUUGGAAACGAAUGCUAAUACCUAAUAUUAUGAUAAUAGGGCAUCCUAUAAUUAUAAAAGCUAUAAGCGCUGUGCGAGAGCUUUGCGUCCCAUUAGCUAGUUGGAGAGGUAACGGCUCACCAAGGCGAGGAUGGGUAGCCGGUCUGAGAGGGAGAUCGGCCACAAGGGGACUGGGACACGGCCCGUAGGCAUACGGGAGGAAGCAGUGGAGAAUAUUGGACAAUGGACCGAGAGUCUGAUCCAGCAAUUCUGUGUGCACGAUGAAGUUUUUCGGAAUGUAAAGUGCUUUCAGUUGGGAAGAAACAAAUGACGGUACCAACAGAAGAAGUGACGGCUAAAUACGUG